CACUCCAGCCUGGGUGACAGAGCGAGACUCCAUCUCAAAAAAAAAAAGGUAAUAGUGUAUUUUUAAAAGAUGGUAAUAGUGUCUCUUCUGCAUUGUAAACUCAGAGCUGUGACUAGGCCAAUGGGGCAUCUCCGUGUUUUUUAUUAUUCAGGUGAUGUUCUGUGCCCUUUGAGUUUACCUUACUUUUGCAGAUUACAGAGUAAGCCGCCAGCAGAAGCAAUAAAGACAUUACUGGGCCUUUGCACUGCAACAUCAUGCCUCUGAAGAAAAAAAAAGUGCAAACAUUACAAUAGAUUCAGCUCCUUUAGUUCUCACUUCUGUCUCCACGUCAAGAUAAAAUACUGACAUUGAAAUAGAAUGGAUGACAUGCUUGAAAUGAGUCAUGUGCCUGAAAAGUCAUUAACAAACAACAGUUCCAGAGAAAAGCCAGGAAAAACUCCCCAUGGAUUUAGAGACAGAGCUCUCACCUUCAACAGGUUACUUUUUCCUUGUCUCAGGCUUCCUUGGAAAACAACCUAUAACUAACUUUCUGGGAGUAAAGCUUCAGGUGGAAGAACAAUUGGAUCAAACUUGGAAAACAUGCCCCCAGUUUGUCUACUCCAUUGAACUUUGCAUGCUUGGAGCCCCUGGCCUCAGCACACUCAAUCGCACAAGCCAGCCUGCAGCACCUGUACAGCACCAUGGGAGUCCCCUGCAGAGCUGCAACUUUGAGAGUGGGUAUAGUGACGUAACUCAGGUUCUUCAAGGGAUGAACACUCCAACUUUGAAACCACUAGCCUGUAGGUGUGGACGAAAAGGCAGCUGCAUGUUAUAAAACAAUAUUACUCAUA
rnacentral:lncRNA from 1 species